AAAAAAGUAAGCCAUGUAUUUCUAUGUCCAAUAUUUAACUGUCCGUUUUAUAUAAAUUUUUUUUACAAUUAGUAUUUUUAUUGUUGUUAGAAGAUAAAACAUAAUUAAUACUUUAUGCGUGACUUGUCUUUUUAAUUUUUUUCAUAAUUUUUUUAAAUAAGAUAGAUGGUUAAAUGUUGGACACGAAAAAUAAAAGUUUGUCUUUCU
rfam:Oryza sativa (indica cultivar-group) chromosome 7, whole genome shotgun sequence.